rnacentral:rRNA from 1 species
GAUGAACGCUAGCGACAGGCCUAACACAUGCAAGUCGAGGGGCAUCGGGGCGAGGAGCAAUCCUUGCCGCCGGCGACCGGCGCACGGGUGAGUAACGCGUAUGCGACCUACCCGUUGCAGGGGGAUAAUCGGGAGAAAUCCCGUCUAAUACCGCGUAACGCCGCGGGGCUGCAUGGCCCUGCGGCCAAAGGGAGCGAUUCCGGCAACGGAUGGGCAUACGUGACAUUAGCUAGUUGGCGGGGCAACGGCCCACCAAGGCGACGAUGUCUAGGGGUUCUGAGAGGAAGGUCCCCCACACUGGUACUGAGACACGGACCAGACUCCUACGGGAGGCAGCAGUGAGGAAUAUUGGUCAAUGGGCGCGAGCCUGAACCAGCCAAGUCGCGUGAGGGAUGACGGCCCUACGGGUUGUAAACCUCUUUUGUCGGGGAGCAAAUUCCGCCACGUGUGGCGGAGUCGAGAGUACCCGAAGAAAAAGCAUCGGCUAACUCCGUGCCAGCAGCCGCGGUAAUACGGAGGAUGCGAGCGUUAUCCGGAUUUAUUGGGUUUAAAGGGUGCGUAGGCGGACUGUCAAGUCAGCGGUAAAAUACGGGGGCUCAACCUCCGCCCGCCGUUGAAACUGACGGUCUUGAGUGGGCGAGAAGUAUGCGGAAUGCGUGGUGUAGCGGUGAAAUGCAUAGAUAUCACGCAGAACUCCGAUUGCGAAGGCAGCAUACCGGCGCCCAACUGACGCUGAAGCACGAAAGCGUGGGUAUCGAACAGGAUUAGAUACCCUGGUAGUCCACGCAGUAAACGAUGAAUACUAGCUGUCCGGGGCGAAUGAGCCCUGGGUGGCACAGCGAAAGCGUUAAGUAUUCCACCUGGGGAGUACGCCGGCAACGGUGAAACUCAAAGGAAUUGACGGGGGCCCGCACAAGCGGAGGAACAUGUGGUUUAAUUCGAUGAUACGCGAGGAACCUUACCCGGGCUCAAACGACACAGGAACGUACCUGAAAGGGUUCGGCUCUACGGAGCCUGUGUCGAGGUGCUGCAUGGUUGUCGUCAGCUCGUGCCGUGAGGUGUCGGCUUAAGUGCCAUAACGAGCGCAACCCCCAUCGACAGUUGCUAACAGGUCAGGCUGAGGACUCUGUCGAGACUGCCGGCGCAAGCUGCGAGGAAGGCGGGGAUGACGUCAAAUCAGCACGGCCCUUACGUCCGGGGCGACACACGUGUUACAAUGGCAGGUACAGCGGGAAGCCACCUGGCGACAGGGAGCGGAACCCGAAAGCCUGUCUCAGUUCGGAUUGGAGUCUGCAACCCGACUCCAUGAAGCUGGAUUCGCUAGUAAUCGCGCAUCAGCCACGGCGCGGUGAAUACGUUCCCGGGCCUUGUACACACCGCCCGUCAAGCCAUGGAAGCCGGGGGUGCCUGAAGUGCGCUGCCGCGAGGAGCGCCCUAGGGUAAAACCGGUGACUGGGGCU